UUUACUUAAAAUUGGAACCCUAAUCUAAAACACGAACAGUUUUCAAAAGCAACAAUACAGACCAGGACGACGUCGUUUAGAGAAAAGAAACAGAAAACCGAAGUCUUGACAGAAAUUGGUAGCAAGAAGAGAGAGAGAUGGAAGGGCUAAGUGAAGAAGAUAGAAAAGCUUUAAGAGGCAGCAAAUUCGCUCCUCUUCCUCCUUCCAAACAACAACCCAGAUUGGCUCAUCCAGGUGGUCCAUUAAAGACAAAUAAAGCAGCAGCACUUGCCAAAUUUCUCGAGAGAAAACUUCAAGACCCUAAUGGUUUAUCCUCCAUCAAUCCUGAUCUUGUUGAAUUGGCCGUCAAGAACGCCAAACAUUCCGUCUCUUCCAGUGGCACCUCAAAAUCUGGAACAACUAUUAUUCAUCAUGUAGCUUCAUUUGGUGACUCUGAUCCUGAGGACUCUGCUGAAAAUGGGAAAGUGUUGCUGAAAAAACAGAAAAGGAAGAAGAAAAGGCGAAAGAAAAAUAAAAAACAGAAGAUAGUGAAUGAUAGUGAAGAUGUAAAGUUGAAGACGACUAAAAAGAAGAUGAAAUUUUGACCUGUUAUUACCUGGGAGAUUGUCACAGCACACAAGGGUACAAUAUAUUCAACAAAUUGAAUAGAUGCUUGUAUUCAUGUCUCGAGAUAUGAACUGGGACUGCGAGUGAUGGCUUAGAGCUUAAAAUUGUAAUUGAAAUCUUGGCUAUGCGAAAUCGACAUGCUUUGAAAUAUUA